CUGAGUGUUAUAUUUUCAUUCAGUAGUAAUCGGUUAUUAGUAGGUGCUACCCGACUUGGUUAUCGGCAUCUGUAAGAUCCACUGUCGAUCAGCCUUUAAAAUAGAUUAAUGUGUAUGACAUGAUCUUCUUUAAUUAAUAACGAAAUGCGCUUGUUGACAACUUGCUGUGGUGUAAGGGGAAUAAAACACUUCAGAAUGUGCAGUUCUACCUUAGGGUGAUAACGGUCACUCCACUUCAUUGGAUCGUUGACUGUUUUCCUAUAACCGUAUGUUUAUUCCUUACAUAAAUUAAACACAAAGCAUGUAGGGGUUCUACAUGCAUGUAGUAUUUGUACAAUCAAUAACCUAUUAGAGUAAUACAUUGUGGUAUAUAAACUGAACUUUGUGUUUGAUGUGUCUGCAGUGCCCAAAGCCCGUGGUGGUGGAAGUGCAUGGCGUUUGUGUGGAAGCAGGUCUGUUGGGAGUGUUAAGUACCAUCAUCUCAUACACUCACCACAACUCUGGGAAGUUCCAUCCAUAUUGUUUGCUGUCACUUUUCCUGCAACGCUUUAACCAUCAGAGAGUUAUCUUUUACUGGGGCUUUUAGCUGCAGGAGACUGAAUUACUAAGUUUUUUUUUUUGUGGAUCUGAUUUCUUCUUUCGCAGGAGUGGAUCUAAUCACAGCCUGUGAUAUUCGUCUGUGCACACAGGAUGCCUGGUUUCAGGUGAAGUCGUGUGUUCCCUGAUAGUCCAUGAUUGCUGGAGCUCUGGAAAUAGCAGGUGAGAUUGCAGGCCGGAGUCGCCGUCGCUGUCCAAGGAACCAAAAUCAACCUCCUCUACUCCUGAGACCACAGUGUGACUGAGAGCCUAGACUACAUGGCUACUUGGAACAUGAACAUGUUGCAGACACAGGAUCUUAUGAAGUCAGCGCAGGCAGCCCUGGAAAAGAAGAGUCCGAAAGACGUGCCCUUCUCCAAGCUUUAAAGGAGAAGAUCCAGGGCUGUUGAAGCUGCGGUGGAACUGAGACAUCAUCAUCCACAUAUCUU